GCCAGCAGCCCUAUCACCCUGCAACUCACAACUGGUAACCCACUGAAGCUAAGCAGGUGUGAGCCUGGUCAUUACCUGGAUGGGAGACCUCCUGGGAAGAACUACGGUUGCUGCUGGAA
ensembl:rRNA 5S_rRNA 5S ribosomal RNA